UGAAGUGCUUGCACUUCUGACGUUAGCGGCGAACGGGUGAGUAACACGUAAGGAAUCUACCUAUAAGCGGGGGAUAACAUUCGGAAACGGGUGCUAAUACCGCAUAAUAUCUUCUUCCGCAUGGAAGAAGAUUGAAAGACGGCUCUGCUGUCACUUAUAGAUGACCUUGCGGUGCAUUAGUUAGUUGGUGGGGUAACGGCCUACCAAGACGAUGAUGCAUAGCCGACCUGAGAGGGUGAUCGGCCACAUUGGGACUGAGACACGGCCCAAACUCCUACGGGAGGCAGCAGUAGGGAAUCUUCCGCAAUGGGCGAAAGCCUGACGGAGCAAUGCCGCGUGAGUGAAGAAGGCCUUCGGGUCGUAAAACUCUGUUAUAAGAGAAGAACAAAUUGUAGAGUAACUGCUACAGUCUUGACGGUAUCUUAUCAGAAAGCCACGGCUAACUACGUGCCAGCAGCCGCGGUAAUACGUAGGUGGCAAGCGUUGUCCGGAUUUAUUGGGCGUAAAGGGAGCGCAGGUGGUUUCUUAAGUCUGAUGUGAAAGCCCACGGCUUAACCGUGGAGGGUCAUUGGAAACUGGGAAACUUGAGUACAGAAGAGGAAUGUGGAACUCCAUGUGUAGCGGUGGAAUGCGUAGAUAUAUGGAAGAACACCAGUGGCGAAGGCGACAUUCUGGUCUGUUACUGACACUGAGGCUCGAAAGCGUGGGGAGCAAACAGGAUUAGAUACCCUGGUAGUCCACGCCGUAAACGAUGAGUGCUAGGUGUUGGGAGGGUUUCCGCCCUUCAGUGCCGCAUUUAACGCAUUAAGCACUCCGCCUGGGGGAGUACGACCGCAAGGUUGAAACUCAAAGGAAUUGACGGGGACCCGCACAAGCGGUGGAACAAGGUGGUUUAAUUCGAAGCAACCCCGAAAAACCUUACCAAGUCU
rnacentral:rRNA from 1 species